GUAAGGCUCCCAUCCCAUCACUGUGAGGGACAGAACUGAGACCCCUCCUCGCUCCUCAUUAAAACCUCAUCAGCUCCAGCUCGUUAGCUCCUGGGAGUUUAACUGACGGUGGGAGGAAGCAGCUGAGAGCCCAUAGGUGUGGGGUGGGAUGAUGGGUGUAGGGAAGAGUGGAGCAGGAAGGAUUUCCUGCAGUGCAGCAAUGAGGUGGGCACAGGGGGUGUUAUUCCGCUCUAUCCCUUCUAUCUGGGGUGCCAUCUGCAAACCCAGAAUGAAGACUGCACUCUUCCAUUAACAGCGCAUGUAACGUUGCUAUUCUAUAAUGUUUUCUCUCACCUUAUCUCAGACCUUUAUGCUUAACAAGUAGCUCUGAAACAGAUCUGGCAUCGCAUCUUUGAGGCAACUUGCAUUUAAAUCAACGUCCGACGCCUCUGCUUCCAUGGAUCAAGAUUAAUUCCCGUCUCCAGCUCCAGAAUCUCAUCUUUAGCAGCACAGAUAACAGCAAUGACUCGAGGCUCUUCCCAGAAGCAUAACUGCAUUAUGAGGCGGCGGAGCUGAUGACGAACAUCUGUGCACCCUGAGGAACUCGUCCUUCAGACGGGCAGGGACUGACAUGCGUGGGGCAGCACCGGGUCCUGGCAGUUUGGGAUUUACAGACCUGGGGGUUUGCAGUCACUUUUCAGGGGACCAUUUUCCUGGAUGGAGCCCUCAGCUCUCUCAGAGCCACAGCUCCGGGCUGAGUUCCUUCCAUGCAGAUUCUGGAGCUGCUCCUCGCCCUGAGCGUGACCAAGACCUUAACUUGCUGGGGGUCAAAGUGGGGGUUCUCACAUCACGGUGCAGCCUCCCCAUUGGCAUCUCCAACAGCUCCAAGCUGCCUCCUGUGGCUCCCUGAUGGUGGCAUCAUUGUGUGGUGUUUUGUGCCCCUCUGUAGGGCCUGGAUGAAAAUAUCAGUCCGCAGCUUGCAGAGUUACUAGAAGCACCGGCUCUAACAGCACUCUGCAUCAAGAAGGGCUAUAAAUUCAUUUGGCAUAAAAUUGUAACAGCCAUCCAGAAUUUGCCAGAAGGAAGAAAACCAACCCAGUUCCUCCUGCUCUGAGAGCAAGUCCAAUAAAUUUAAUUUAAAAACUGUGAG
rnacentral:lncRNA from 1 species